rnacentral:rRNA from 1 species
ACGCCUAAUACAUGCAAGUCGAACGAAGUAGCAAUACUUAGUGGCAGACGGGUGAGUAACAUGUAGGUAUCUUCCCUUUGGUGAGGAAUAACAUGAGGAAACUUGUGCUAAUACCUCAUAAGUCUUUACGGAGAAAGCUUUAUGCGCCGAUGGAUGAGCCUGCACUUGAUUAGUUUGUUGGUAGGGUAAUGGCCUACCAAGACAAUGAUCAAUAGCUGAUUUGAGAGGAUGAUCAGCCACAUUGGGACUGAGACACGGCCCAAACUCCUACGGGAGGCAGCAGUAGGGAAUCUUGCACAAUGGGGGAAACCCUGAUGCAGCGAUGCCGCGUGAGUGAAGAAGGCCUUUGGGUUGUAAAGCUCUUUCGUCGGGGAAGAAAAUGACUGUACCCGAAUAAGAAGGUCCGGCUAACUUCGUGCCAGCAGCCGCGGUAAUACGAAGGGACCUAGCGUAGUUCGGAAUUACUGGGCUUAAAGAGUUCGUAGGUGGUUAAAAAAGUUGGUGGUGAAAUCCCAGAGCUUAACUCUGGAACUGCCAUCAAAACUUUUUAGCUAGAGUAUGAUAGAGGAAAGCAGAAUUUCUAGUGUAGAGGUGAAAUUCGUAGAUAUUAGAAAGAAUACCAAUUGCGAAGGCAGCUUUCUGGAUCAUUACUGACACUGAGGAACGAAAGCAUGGGUAGCGAAGAGGAUUAGAUACCCUCGUAGUCCAUGCCGUAAACGAUGUGUGUUAGACGUUGGAAAUUUAUUUUCUGUGUCGCAGCGAAAGCAAUAAACACACCGCCUGGGGAGUACG